UACUCACCCUCCUUACCCC
rnacentral:miRNA from 1 species